rnacentral:tRNA from 1 species
CAGGGAGACAACAAAAUGUUUAAUAUUAUUAUUUUGUCACCUUAGGUCGAUCGGUAUCUCACAUUCUUAAUUCAUUAAGGAUUUCAUUUCCUAAGUUUUUCUAGGUCACACCCAUUAUUUUUCCUGGGCCAUUAGCUCAGGUGGUUAGAGCGCACCCCUGAUAAGGGUGAGGUCCCUGGUUCAAGUCCAGGAUGGCCCAUAUCUCUAUGUUGGGGGUAUAGCUCAGUUGGUAGAGCGCCUGCUUUGCAAGCAGGAUGUCAGCGGUUCGAGUCCGCUUACCUCCACUGAUUACCACCUCUUCCAUAAUUUGUAGAAGGAAAAUUUUUGAGAUUGUGAUCAAAUUCUGAACGAAUCUAGCUUCCUAGGAACCAUUAAGAUGGCUGGACUCAUUGAAUUAAUUUCAUUGUUUUCAGAGAAACCUUGACAACUGCAUAGAUUAUUUUUAAGACAAUAAGCAUCUUGAUGAUGCAGAUUAUUAUUUGUGCUAAUGCACUAAUAACAUUCUAUUAAGCUGAUGCUCAA